GUCUACAGCCAUACCAUCCUAACAAUGCCCAAUCUCAUGUGAUCUCAGAAGCUAAGCAGGGUUAGCCUGGUUAGUGCAGAAUAGGAAUACCAGGUGCUGUAGGCA
rnacentral:rRNA from 1 species